UGACUUGGCAGCAUCAGCUGUUGUUUGAUUUGAAGAUAUAAUCAUACAUUAAUCACUAAUACAAUGACUCAUAAUGAAGUGAAAUAUGGUUACUAACAACAUGAUAACAUCCCAUCAUCUAGCAACUGAGAAUUUCCCUUUGCAGAGCAGCUGACUUCACACCUUUUACUAGCUGUGAGUGCUGUCUCUGUCUUUUCAUUCAGGCCCUGUCUACUGCAAAUCCAAAACAAAGAAAGAAAGAAAGAAAGAAAGAAUGCACUUACAACAGUGCAGUAUAAUUACUACACAGUCGACAAGCAUCCUCUCUCCUUCACUGCGAAAGAAAAAAAUCCAGCAGACGAGUCAAGAUUACAGAUUUCCAUUCUCGGCGAGGAAGUGCCACAAAAAUGACACUUAUUCUGACACAAACAUGAAAAAGAAUGCGGUCAGGCGCACACAUGCCCGCUGUGAAAAUUGGCAUCCUAAAACUGGAGGAUUGUUUGCACUACAUUGUUAUCAGUGUGUGUAUGCGGUGUGGUGUGUUUGUGUGCGUUUUCAUGCAUGUGUAAACAGUACCUAACCCAAAGCUUUCAUAGCUCAGAUUCCUCUGGUCGUCCAUGUUUACAAAUAGCAGAUAGAGAUUCUCCUUUAGCUUGUCUUCCCCCAUCUUGAGAUGAAGCUGAAGGAAUGUUGGGGUUUAGAUAGUGAAGUGAUUUACCCAGAAGUUGACGCCAGUGAGUUGUUUUCAUGGACACCGAACAACUAACAUUUCUCUCCAGGUGUUUGGCCCAGUUGAAGUGAGACCUCAAGUGCUUCUGAAGCACAUUCUUCUUGUCCCCAUUUCUGCGUCUUCCGCCUCUUUUCAACUUUGUUUGUAGCUCCUUCUCUCUGAUUCUCCCUCGGUCCACAUGGGAGGACGAUAGUAUUUGAGCUGGAGCUCACGGGACUCAGAUAAAACACUCAAAACAAAAAAGAAUUCCACAGCGAGCCAUGCACAGUCCAAGAUAUACAGGAACUUCAAACUACCAAACACUGUCUUCUCAGUAUUUGAUAUGUUGGUCUGGAUCCCAGGGACUAGAGUGGAGAAAAUAACGAGGAAAGGGUGGAUACGAAGGAAAAUCAUUGUUUGUUGGUGCUGAAUGUAUCAGAAUACACAGUGUUUGGAUCACAUUGAUCAAAUUUGAUCAUCCGCACUGUUUCUUGCUGAAUCUUUAGGACUGUCAUGACAUGCAUACAUGCACAACACAUGGAAGACAAUCUGUGCUGAGAGGAAAAUAUGGUGGAAACAUGAUCAACAGCUGAGUUAGACCACUAUCUCUGUGUGACUUUCGAUGCAUCCAUGAAUCUUGCACAGGUUUCUCCACAGUCUACAAAACGUAUGACCCCAUAGCAACCAAUAAUCAGACAUGUUUUGCAGCUCUUAACUCUGCUUCCCAAAAUGUUAGUUAUGUUUACAAGGCUAUGCUUGACCUUCAGGUUGAUUCCUGUGUGGUUCUGAGUAUCACUUCUUCUCCAAGGGCAAAAUGAGGCUCACAACAGAGCCUGAAGGGAGGUUCGAGGAGCCGGGUGACAGUGGAGGACCAUGUCAGCGCUUAUUAAAAGGAUCACGUUCUCCUCUGAAGGCCCAGGGGGCUGGCUACUUCCUGUGGCCAUGUGGCAAGCUCCAAGCCCUGUAAAGACAAGACCAAACAGAUGGACCCAUCUGACCUCAGGGAAUUGAGUAUUUCCUCUGAAACUGAAGCUGUUCUGCUCCUCUUCUCCGUCCGCUAUCAAGAUUACUUUCUCUGGUUUCACUUCUUUAUUCUUACACAAAUAUCUGUGUGGCUUUUCCUCCUCGUUUCGUGAGGCUCAUUUAUUUUAUGCAUCACUCACUCUGUUUUUUCCUUCUUCUCCUCCUGUCCACCUCAGCUAUAUUUUUCUUUAAAGCUCACACCUCAUUUCCUUUGAACCCACUCCAAGUUCAUCUCCUACGUCUGCUCACGCUCUGCUGAGAUACCACAUUCCCUCACAGCUCUGACAAGACAUAGCCUCGCAUCCUUUGGCUCUCCGAGAUGAGACAGUUGUGGGACAGAGGUGUCAGAUCUCUGACUAUGAACAUCUGGAGAAUGUUAAUGUAAUCAAUGCAAAUCAGAUUCCUCUAACAGUCACUGACAGGAGUUUAGGGCUCAGGAGAGGGAGAUAGGAACUUGGGAGAAAUGGAGCAAAAAAGAAAAGGGAGGGAGCACCAGCGAGGCAGGGAAAGAGGAAAAGUUUGAGGGUUUGUGUCGCAGACGUGGUGUUAAAGAGGUGGGAGAUUCUUUUUUUCUCUCACUGAUGUUUUGCUCAUGCACGUAGCUGCAGAGAUUAGAGAGGAAACACUUAGAUGGUGAGAAAAUGGGGCCCACUUCAUAGUUGAAAAUGAAAUCCCAACCCAUGAGAUGUAUGAUCGUGUAGCAUGGAAGGAGAGAGGGGUUCAGGGUCACAGUGUGUGUGUGUGUGUGUGUGUGUGUGUGUGUGUGUGUGCGUGCGUGCGAGUGUGAUUAUUGUGCCUGUUGGUGAACGGCUGAACGUGAGAGUUAGCCAUUUGUAAUGGUAACCUUUGACCUCCCAGUUCAGGGCUGUCGUAACUACGUUUCCUCUCCCUUGGGUAAGUGUGUGUAUGUGUGCAUGUGUGUGCAUACGUGCUGUCACAAGGGGGGGGGGGGUCGGACAUAUUUCCUGGUGUAGAGUCUCCCUCAGAGUGACUAACUGGGAAAAUAAUGAUAAUGUAGGAGCAAUGAGGUCAGUCUCUCUCUCUCUCUCUCUCUCUCUCUCCCAGCCUCGACUGACCCAGAUUGCUGUAACGGCCAAAGCAGAUUCUGGUCCAACCACCCCCAACUCCCACCCUACCCCCCAUGGACAGAGCGUGGCCCCCAGGCUUGCAUAAAACAACAAGACUUGAAAGGAAGAGAGGCAGACGAAAGAAGAAUCAAGCCGAAGGAAGGAUGUGAAGGACAGGAUGAGGUGAAGAAAGAUACUGAAGGGAAGCCUGUAAAAGCUGGUGGCAGCUGAGGCCUGUGGCAGCCAUGAUGGAUGUGAUGUCACGUCGCAACUCCCGCCCACCCUGACCUCCCAUGAUUCCUCGUCUGCUGCAGGCUCCA